GCCCGCUGCGGGUGUGAUCACGUCGUGAGCCAUCUUUGUCACCCAUCCUUAGGAGUGAGUGACAAGAGCAGCCAGUCUCAGGGCUCGCCUGCUCCAAGCGGCGUCGUGGCAAUUCGCACACUGCCGUGCGAAAGGAGAGGAGAUGCACCGUGCAAGGGAAUAGGACUGGAGCAGAGGCAGAAACAUAUCCUUGAAAAUUGAUAGCAGGAAAAGAUGUUUACAGAUGAACACAGGGGCAAAGACUCUAAUGGCCGAAUACCUGCUGUGAGAAAUACUCAUUGUUUAGCUUGAUGGAUGAUCCCAGAUAGAAGCACAGCAAUCAUCAGAAAGGAUAAAUUUACAGUAAAAGAAUGUUUACCAAGCAAACAGAAGAAAACAAAAUAUC